rnacentral:rRNA from 1 species
GAUGAACGCUGGCGGCAUGCCUAACACAUGCAAGUCGAACAGCAGCACGGCAGUAGCAAUACUGUGGGAGGCGAGUGGCGGACGGGUGAGGAAUGCGUCGGAAUCUGCCCAGUUGUGGGGGAUAACUAGCCGAAAGGUUAGCUAAUACCGCAUACGACCGAGAGGUGAAAGCGGGGACCUGCAAGGGCCUCGCGCGAUUG